AACGAACGCUGGCGGCAUGCCUAACACAUGCAAGUCGAACGAGACCUUCGGGUCUAGUGGCGCACGGGUGCGUAACGCGUGGGAACCUGCCCUUAGGUUCGGAAUAACUCCCCGAAAGGGGUGCUAAUACCGGAUAAUGUCUUCGGACCAAAGAUUUAUCGCCCUUGGAUGGGCCCGCGUUGGAUUAGCUAGUUGGUAGGGUAAAAGCCUACCAAGGCGACGAUCCAUAGCUGGUCUGAGAGGAUGAUCAGCCACACUGGGACUGAGACACGGCCCAGACUCCUACGGGAGGCAGCAGUGGGGAAUAUUGGACAAUGGGCGAAAGCCUGAUCCAGCAAUGCCGCGUGAGUGGUGAAGGCCUUAGGGUUGUAAAGCUCUUUUACCCGGGAUGAUAAUGACAGUACCGGGAGAAUAAGCUCCGGCUAACUCCGUG
rnacentral:rRNA from 1 species